CUACGGGGGGCUGCAGUGAGGAAUAUUGCACAAUGGGGGGAACCCUGAUGCAGCAACGCCGCGUGGAGGAUGACGCAUUUCGGUGUGUAAACUCCUUUUAUAUGUCAAGAAAAUGACGGUAGCAUAUGAAUAAGCACCGGCUAACUCCGUGCCAGCAGCCGCGGUAAUACGGAGGGUGCAAGCGUUACUCGGAAUCACUGGGCGUAAAGGACGCGUAGGCGGGUUGGAAAGUCAGGUGUGAAAUCCUAAAGCUUAACUGUAGAACUGCACUUGAAACUUCUAAUCUAGAGUAUGGGAGGGGGAGAUGGAAUUAGUGGUGUAGGGGUAAAACCCGUAGAUAUCACUAGGAAUACCUAAAGCGAAGGCGAUCUCCUGGAACAUUACUGACGCUAAGGCGUGAAAGCGUGGGGAGCAAACAGGAUUAGAUACCCCGGUAGUC
rnacentral:rRNA from 1 species